rnacentral:rRNA from 1 species
GACGAACGCUGGCGGCGUGCUUAACACAUGCAAGUCGUACGGUAAGGCCCUUUCGGGGGUACACGAGUGGCGCACGGGUGAGUAACACGUGAGUAACCUGCCCACAACUUUGGGAUAACGCUAGGAAACUGGUGCUAAUACUGGAUAUGUGCUCCUGCUGCAUGGUGGGGGUUGGAAAGCUCCGGCGGUUGUGGAUGGACUCGCGGCCUAUCAGCUUGUUGGUGGGGUAGUGGCCUACCAAGGCGGCGACGGGUAGCCGGCCUGAGAGGGUGACCGGCCACAUUGGGACUGAGAUACGGACCAGACUCCUACGGGAGGCAGCAGUGGGGAAUAUUGCACAAUGGGCGCAAGCCUGAUGCAGCAACGCCGCGUGCGGGAUGACGGCCUUCGGGUUGUAAACCGCUUUCAGCAGGGACGAAGCUUUUUGUGACGGUACCUGCAGAAGAAGCACCGGCUAACUACGUG